AGCUUCCGCGAAGCCGGCGCCGGCACACGCCAGCGCCCCAGAAAGCUGAAGCCCGCUUUAUGUAGAAAACUGAAGGCCAGGCGGGAGGAAACCGCUUUUCUUUCCCAAAAGUCUUUUAUAGGCGCGGGUCUAGUCCCUGCUCCCGCCUCCUGUCCCCGCCCUCACCCCAGUUUUCCCUUGUCUUUGGAUUUUUUAGAACUGUCAGAUUUUCCUAAGGGCGCGGGGGGAGGGGGGGGGAAAUCUUUUCAACUUUUUAUUUCUCCCAAUACGGAGCUGUAUUAAUUCACGCAGAACACACAGCCCAAGUUCCUUGAUCAGCGAAAGGCAUAUUGAACACCGAUCCCCGCUCCCCUACCCCAUCCCAUUCCAGCCGCAGCGGGAGGGAAGGACCGGACUCCCCGCCGAAGGAGAGACCUGGUUGGAAGUGGAGGACCCUGGACUCAGGUGGAAAGUGACAACUGCCCCCCGGGCCGCCCGAGUCUCGUCCUCUGCGUCGGGAAGGGGCGGGGGACUCACCCAGGACGAGCAGCAGCGUGGGGACCUGGCGGGCGCGGCGCGGCUCCAUCCUUCUCGCGGACUCAUCCUGAUGGAUUCCACGUACACUCUAAGUAGGAAAUCUCCAAUGUUCAUGUCUUCAGUCCUCUCAUCAGGGAGUCCCUCAGCAAUUCUGAAGAAUGGGGAUGUUGUGUGAGUUGACUGAGCUCAGUUGGACGGAUCUUCCUGGGGGUCUUUCAUAUAAAUGGAGUCAAUUAGUGGCUGCAGCUUGAAGCAUCUCAACCUGUGACAUCGCUGGCUGUCUGAGGUGUUACAAUCACAGGCCUGCAGUUGAGCUCAUCUGGGGAUGCUGACUAGAGCACACAGACGUGGCCUCUCCAUGCAGCUGGACUUCUCACAGCCCCACAGCUGGCUUCCAGGAAACCCUGUCACAGCCAUGAGAACAAAUACAAGCCUCCCUGCUGGCAGAUCCAAAUCCUGUGGAAGAGAGCCGAGUCGUUUCAGGGAAGCCAUCCUAGACCAGCCAUCUAGCCAACCACCAGCUGAAGGCAGAUGUUUGAACAAGCCAAGUCAUGGUCAGAAUAUUUGAGGUAAGGUCACCAUAAUUGACCAGCUGAACCAGACUCAGGAGAAAUUUAUUUUAAAGGGUGGUUGUUUAAAUUGACUGAGUUUGCGGGUAUUUGGUUAUUUUUUAAUACAGCAAAAGCUGCAUAAUCCAUAUUAGUAAAUGACACAAAACUGGGCAGAAUAGCUAGUAGGUAGCUACUUUGGAAUAGUGGACUAUCAAUAGCAAUAAGAAUUUGAAAGAGGUUCUGUAUAUAAUUCUGACCAGCUGGCUGUACUUGAUUAAAAACUCACUAAAAACUAUUAGGUUGUUCCAAGACAAAUAAUGUCCAGAUACAGGGAUGUAAUGUUUUCCACUAUAUUUUCAGUAGACUCUCUCUGAAAAUGUUGGUUGUAUUCUGGAGGCUGAUCUCAAGAAGAAUGAUGAGAAUGAAUCUGGAAAUCAUGUCAUAUGGAACAAGUGCUAUCAAACUAGUUGGUUCAACUGUUUACCCAUCAGGUUGUGACAAGAAGAAAAGUUUAUGCCACAAUGUAAAUCAACUAUAUCAGUAAACAACCUUUUAAAUUCAGCUAUCUUUAUUUUUUCACAGAAAGAAUUUUUCAAUGAUAGCAAUAUGAUUUCUUUUUUUUUUUUUUUAAUUUUGGCAGUGCUGGGUCUUCUUGCAGUGUGCAGACACUUUGUUGCAGCACGUGGGCUUCUCUACUUGCAGCAUAUGCUGCAACUAGUUGUCCCGUGACAUGUAGGAUCUUAGUUCCCUGACCAGGGAUUGAACUCUUGUCCUCUGUAUUGGCAGGCAGAUUCUUAACCACUGGACCACGAGGGAAGUCCCAGUAUGCUGAUUUAUAUUCUGCCACAGCUCUUUAUGUUGAUGUGGAUCUAUAACUUAUAGUUCCCAAAGGGUAAGGAACAGCCAUGGGUUAGUAUUGGUCCACACACUGAAUAUCUCUGAAACAGAGGAAUGGUUGAAUAAAUUCAAGUUGCCUUUCUCAGGGAGGAAAAAAAAACCUAAAAACUAAAAAUAAUCAAAACCCAAUAAUUGUGCCUUCAAUGUGUUAAACUACAUAGGGAGUUGAUUUACUUUAUAUAUUUUCAGAAGGAAGAAUGAAGGGACAAGGAAGGGAAUAGAUUUUAGCUCAAUACAGAGAAUGUUUUAAGAAUAAUAAGCCACAAAGAGAAAUACUGUCCUUAUUCCCUAUUAGAAAUGUUCACAAUAGGGUAAAGAUGAGAUUGAAUUGGGAAAGUUAAUGAUGCUUUCAAAUUUUAUGAUUUAAAGAUUCUCUUUUGUCUAAUUAUAAUAAUUUUUUUUCUUUCUUCUCUCAAGUAAUUCAUUUCUGAAUCCUUGCAGACUUCUGACCCUGCCAUUCUGCUAAACAAAAGAAAGAAAGAAUACAAAUUGUAUUUAACAGUUGAAAUGAUAACAAAUAGGCAUAUAUGAUACCUACUUCAGAUAUGUUAAAUAAGUUGUCCACUGAUAUUGUUGUCUUGUAGAGACAAAUGACUGGAAGUAAAGUUGUUCAUUAAUUGUACCUUAAAAGACACUGAAAAGAAAUUUCUUAGACAUGAGGUAUUUGGUUCCCCAAAUAAACAAAUGCAAUGUAUUUAAAUUAAAUUAUUAUCAUUUGAUAAAGUGGCAUAUUAAAAACUAUUUAAACAUUUGGAAAAGACUUUCAGUUUAGUUCAGUUCAGUCACUCAGUCAUGUCUGACUCUUUGCGACCCCAUGGACUGAUUUUAGAUAUUAGUCUAAAAAAAGACUUUAGAUACUAGUAGAAUGUGAAGUCAGAAAAAUUUUUAUUUGUUUUUUUGUUAAAGUUGAAAAUGAACAGUAGUUUCAAGUGAACAUUUCCUAUGAGCUUUUUCUUUGUAAUGUGAUAGUUCCAUAGAAACCUGUCCUUAAUUCUUAUAUAAUUUGAAGACUCAAGCAUUAUAUAUGAGAACCAAAACCAUGCAUAUCCACUAUACUUACU